AAAUAAUUAUGUAUCAUU
rnacentral:snRNA from 1 species